CCUACGGGAGGCAGCAGUGGGGAAUAUUGGGCAAUGGGCGCAAGCCUGACCCAGCAACGCCGCGUGAAGGAAGAAGGCUUUCGGGUUGUAAACUUCUUUUAAGAGGGAAGAGCAGAAGACGGCACUUCUUGAAUAACCCACGGCUAACUACGUGCCAGCAGCCGCGGGAAUACGGAGGUGGGAAGCGUUGUCCGGAUUUACUGGGUGUAAAGGGCGUGCAGCCUGGAAGACAAGUCAGAUGUGAAACCCCGGGGCACAACCGCGGAACUGCAUUUGAAAGUGUGGGUCUUGAGUACAGGAGAGGUCAACGGAAUUCCUGGUGUAGCGGUGAAAUGCGUAGAUAUAAGGAAGAACACCAGUGGCGAAGGCGGAUGACUGGACGGUGACUGACGGUGAGGCGCGAAAGCGUGGGGAGCAAACAGGAUUAGAUACCCGAGUAGUC
rnacentral:rRNA from 1 species